rnacentral:rRNA from 1 species
AUUGAACGUUGGCGGCAUGCUUUACACAUGCAAGUCGAACGGGCUUAGGGGCUUGCUCCUAAGUUAGUGGCGAACGGGUGAGUAAUGCAUCGGAACGUACCGUGUAGUGGGGGAUAACCCGGCGAAAGUCGGAUUAAUACCGCAUACGAUCUAAGGAUGAAAGCAGGGGAUCGCAAGACCUUGCGCUAUACGAGCGGCCGAUGUCGGAUUAGCUAGUUGGUAGGGUAAAGGCCUACCAAGGCAACGAUCCGUAGCGGGUCUGAGAGGAUGAUCCGCCACACUGGGACUGAGACACGGCCCAGACUCCUACGGGAGGCAGCAGUGGGGAAUUUUGGACAAUGGACGAAAGUCUGAUCCAGCCAUGCCGCGUGAGUGAAGAAGGCCUUCGGGUUGUAAAGCUCUUUUGUCCGGGAGCAAAUCCUGUUCACUAAUACUGAGCGGGGCUGAGAGUACCGGAAGAAUAAGCACCGGCUAACUACGUGCCAGCAGCCGCAGUAACAC